AUACUUGAGAAAAUGUGUAGUAACUGGGGAGGACAGACACAGCUGUCUCGGAGGGCAGCACAGAGGUUCCAGAUUUAGAGAAAGGGGCAUCUGUGUGAGCUGGAGAGCUAAGGAAGGCUAGAGAAGUCUGACUUGACCCAAACUUUAGAGGCCCCGCUCAAUGUGGCCAGAUCUUGAGGUACAACUGUAAGUCUGGAUGAAGAUGCAUUACAAAGCAAAUAGAGGCUUGACGGUGAGACUACCAUGGAAAAUUUUCAGAGGAACCAAGUGGGUGCAAAAAACUUACAUAAAAGAGUUAUGGUGGCUAUGUUCCAAGCAUCAAGCAGCACUUCAGAAAUCCAGUCUCUUUCAAUUUUAUGGCCCCACCAUCAUCAACCUGUAGCUUCACAGGCCACCAAAUCCAUUUCUGCAUGAGCCUGAUAGAAGGGGAAAGAACACAAAGCAUCUUCUAUCAGAAUUUUUUUUGUGAACCAGGCCCCCAAAUGUCAUCAAUCACUUUGUCUUGCGUUCCACUGGUCAGAACCCAGUCACAUGGUCACAUCUCACUCUAAGGGAGCCUGGGAAAUGCAAUAUAUAUUUGUGCAAAGGAAGAAGAAACAGGCUUGGUGAACAACUAGACUGCUUCUGCCACUGGAGGGUUUUAUUUUCUAAGAGUGAGCCAAUUAGCUAUGUGAACGUCUGGAGAAUUUAUCCAGAAGAAAGGAGGGGUGGGAGGAAUCAAUUACUGAAAAACUGUAAAAGAACAAUGGAAGACAAAAAUAGUGUUUUGAUUACAUCUCUAAUUUGGGCUUGUUUGAAGCAUAAUUUUCAGCUGUCAAAUGCACAACACCAGGUAAUAUA